rnacentral:lncRNA from 1 species
GAUCCAAAGGGGUGCAGGGAGGGGAGGCACGGGCUACAGGGAGGGGGAGGGAGGGGCCGAGGCGGGGGGGGUGUGUGUGUGCAGGAGAACAGCGACCUGGGCCGACCUGGGCCGCAGGGGCGGGGAGGGGCCCAGCCGGGGGUCCCCCGCGCUCUGCACUGCUCAGGUGAACAUCUGGGCGCUCGCGUGUGCGAAGCACGCAGAGGGCUGUUGGGGGCCGGGCAGGCCCAGCAGGAUGCGCCCCAACACGGCUCGGACAUCGCGGGCCAGGCUCCGGGGGCGCCCGGCCGGGAGCGCGGCGCGGGGUGCGACCUCGGCCCCCGGGCAGUCACCAGCGGGGUGCAACCUGAACCCCACGGGCCUGGUCCGAACCUCUUAAAUGGCCUGCUGGGGGGGUGGGGAAGGCGGUGGAGAGGGGGGUGGGGUGGGGGAGGGGGGAGAGGGGGUGGGGGAGGGGGUGGGGAGGUGGGAGAGAAGGCGGUGGGAGAGGGGGAUGGGAGGGGUGGGAGACAGGGGAAUGGGGAGGGGCAUAGGGUAAUGGGGGUCAGAGGUGCGGCUCCCGGGAGGAAGACGGCGCCCCCGGGGUCUCCCUGGCCUCUGGCCUCCCGGGGUCCGCAGGACCCCACCUCGCGGCAGGACCCCACCUCGCGGCAGGACCCCACCUCGGGGCAGGUGCCCACCCGCGGCGGGUGCCCACGGAGCCCCCUGGAGGCCGAGGAUGCGCGAGGAGCGAGGGGCGUCGGGCUGAGCCGCCCUCCCGGCCCCUUCCGCGCUGCCCUCCUCCCGCAGGAGCACCAACAACCCCGCGUCCUGCGUCGCGCUUUUCCGCUUAGCUUCGUGGCUGGGGCCGAGCAGGACGUGGGUGCCCGGCCCUCCGCCCGCACCCAUCACGCGGGUCCUCCCGACCAGCUUAGCGCCGCGGCCGGGCCACCUCUGGGCCGCCAACCCCAGGGGUGCCCCCGCGGCGCCCGCACCUCGCCCCACGCUGCUCGGGGCUCGGGCCUGCUCGGGGCUCGGGGCUGCUCGGGGCUCGCGGCUGUUCGGGGCGGCUCGGGGC